GGCUGAGGUUCUGAAGAAGUUCUACAGGAGCCUGAUCGAGAUGGUACCCAACACAUCGCCUGAAGCUACGAUCAUUGUGUCUGGGCUGCUUCCCACGUACAGACAAGGACAGGAAAGUGACUCCUGUGGACAGACUACUCGAUGCCUGUGGAGAGACGACUCUGCCUGUGAGCUGCUGGAUUGGCGGAGGACGCGAUCAUCUCUGGCUUCAUUCACUUCGGC